GACCUAUUUUAUAUAUCAUAGGAUUUUCAAUUUCAUUUGCUAAAAUUGUAUUCAGGUGAAUCUAAAUAGUAAGUAAAAUAGCUUUUCUAUAUAGUGCUACAUUUAUAUACUACAUUGUGAACAAUUAACAAAGCUUAAAAGCUGAAAAGAUAUAAGGUGUUAUAAAUUGCUUACAGUGGAGAAACCAAAUUCUAACAUGGAAGGCUUGAGUCUGCAAAUAGCUUCCAUAACAAUUAUUAAUAAUUUAAGGAACACAUAAAAAGGUACUUACAAAUUAUCUACCAAAGGCACAUUCUCACACCUAAAAAUCUCUUUGUUUGAGAAAAAAAAUUAUGAUAAAAACUAUUUAAAAAGUCUCACAAAAUCCAAUUUAUGAAAAUAAAAAAUUAUCAACUUGAUAAAAACUAUUCAUAGAAAAGCUGGUUGACCUCAAAGAUCACAAGAUUCAGGUGAAUUCAGAAUUCUCAACUUGAUAAGCUUAGCUUAGCUUUCAUUUGUUGCAUUGUAUCUUGUUCAUUUGAAUUCCAAGCAAUUGUGGUUAUAGUUCUGUCAGUUAUGGUUCUCUCUAAUUCAAGAGGUUAGUCAAUGUAGUUGCAACUAAUUGUGAAGGAACCAUUCACCGCCGUCGAACCUUCUCCGACAACAGCAAUGGCGACUCGUGAUGGCGGUAUCAAGUCUUCAUCAAUUAAUGGUGUAAAAAUGUACACAAUAGCUUCACAGCAAUCCUCACUUGCUUAAUGGGUUCCAACUAAGCAGCAAUCUCACCACCCUGUCAAAAGUUGUACUCAAAACGUGCAGCUUAUUGAAGACUUGAAGUUCACUACUGCAACAACAAAGAUUAAAGCUACUCUUGAUGGCGAGUUUGUCAUAGCUUCAGGUAUAUAUCCGCCGCAAGUAAAGGUUUAUGAGGUCAGGGAGUUAGGACUGAAAUUUGAAAGACAUUUGGAUUCAGAGAUCAUUGAUUUUCAGGUGCUUUCAUUAUAAUUACUGAAUUGGUUCAUGUGGCACUGAUUGCCAAUUCUCCAUUGAUUGCUCAAUGUGCAGUCCUGUACUUUCUAGCUUCAUUAUAAAUUCAAUGUGUAGUCGUGUAUUUUGGAACGAACUGAAUUUUAGCUAUCAACUCUUUUUCGAUUCUGUUUCGACAUUGUUUGCAUUCUGAAAUUUUCUGCAAUUAGAAUAUUAGAAUUAGAAUAUGAGUUGUUAAUGAAUGUUUUAGCUAGAUGAGAACUUGUUGUUUGUGCUAGAUGUUGAUAUUCAGGUGGGAUUAUGUAUGUGAUUGUAGAUAUUAAUACUAGAUCUCAUGCAUCGUAAUACUAGAUAUUCUUUCUAGUAUAAACCUUUCUAUACUUAUAGAGAAUCAAAUAAUAAAUUAGAAUUUUUUUUAAAUUUAUAGCUAUAUUACCUGCGGAUUUACCUGCGGAUCCAUGUUCCUGUGGAAUUACCUGCGGACUUACCAGCGGAAUUACAGCGGAUUUACCUGCGGAUUUUUCCUGCGGAUUUAACUGCGGAUUUUCCUGCGGAAUUACCUGCCGAAAAAUUUACCCACAAAGGUUUUAGCUGGGGACAAAGAACCGCAGGAAAAUCCGCAGGAAACUAUUUUCCUGCAGAAAUUUUGCUCAAAUCCGCAGGUAAAUCCGCAGGAAAACAGAGUAUUUCUAGUAGUGUAUAUGCAAUCGAAUCGUAUUAAAUACGAAUGAAUAUACAUAAACGAAUUUAAGAACAAGAAUGGCAAACCAUGACUUUGGAGUGGACGAAA